rnacentral:rRNA from 1 species
UACAGAGGGGGCAAGCGUUAUUCGGAAUUAUUGGGCGUAAAGGGCGCGUAGGCGGCCAUUCAAGUGACGGGUGAAAGCCCUCGGCUUAACCGAGGAACUGCCUGUCAGACUGGAUGGCUUGAGACCGGGAGAGGUGAGUGGAAUUCCCAGUGUAGCGGUGAAAUGCGUAGAUAUUGGGAGGAACACCGGUGGCGAAGGCGGGUCUCUGGGCCGAUACUGACGCUGAGGAGCGAAAGCGUGGGGAGCGAACAGG